rnacentral:lncRNA from 1 species
UCAACCCAAUGGAUUGAAGAUGCAAAGCCUGUUUGGUUUGCUGAUUUUAUUCACUUCACAAAUCACACACAAAGAGCCACAAAUGUACUCGGCACUUCAACCCUGAAAUCAAACAAUUCCAUCCAAUUCCAAUUUCUAAACCCUAUUCUCCGCUGUUGGCACUCACGCUGAGCCACCAUCGGGUCCUCGAUGUUGAGCCACCGGCCACUGUAGCACUACAUAACCACUGCAUUGCUGGUAACUGAUUCCACUCGUGAUGGCGUGAAGUAAGCGGUGAGCCUCGUGCCUUUCUUCAUUUUUUUUUUAAAUUUUUUGGUUUUUGUUCUUCUAGUUCGUUUAUUGAUUUAUUAUUAUGAAAUUAUGAGUUAUCAAUUAAAUUAAUCAGUUAUAAAUUAUGAAUUUAUGAGUUUAUGUUUUAUGAGAAUUUACUGUGAGUUUAUCUAUGAGUUGUGAGUUGUGAGCCUCUCAUUAGUAUUUGAGAAUAUGUGAUAUCAUUUAUGUGGACUAUGGAAUCUGUGAAAAUUGAGGAUUUUGUGAAAAUCGGGGAUUUUGGAAAUGGAAACUUUUAGUAUCCAUGGAUGAGGAAAUCCCCAAUAGUCAUUGAACUUUGCAGAAAAUUCCCUAGGAGGUCACCGAACUUCAAUACGUCUUUGAAUGGUCACUGAACUUUUUCGAAAUCUCCCAAAAAGUCACCGAAUUUUAAAAUGUUCCCGAAUGGUUACUGAACUUUAUAAAAAACCCUGGGAGGUCACUAAACUAGCUAUGUUUGGGGUCCCAAUUUGCAACGUUGAAUGAUCUCUCUAGGGGAUUUCGACAAAGUUCAGUGACCAUUUAGGGACGUUUUAAAGUUCAUUAACCUCUUGGGGGACUUCGGUAAAGUUCAGUAACUAUUUAGGGACGUAUUGAAAUUCGAUGACCUCCUAGAAAUUUUCUACAAAGUUUAGUGACCAUUGGGGGGAUUUCCUCAUCCAUGGACUUAUGGAAUCUUUUAGAAUUUGUCAAAAUUGGUGAUUUUUGAAAUGAAAACUUGAUAGUUAAUAUGAGAUUUACGUUUUAGUGCACUUAUAUAUUAAUUGAAAUUUUUUAAUAUUAUCCAAUCCAAUACUCCCUCCGUCCCAAUUAUAUAGGUUGAGUUUCUUUUUUCUCUUGUACCAAAUAUAUAAGCAUGUUUCCUAAUUUAGAAUAUUUUGUUUUGUUUCUUUAUCAAUAUACCCUUAUUCAAUUUUCACCACUUAAUAUGUCAACUUCUUGAAAAUUUUCAAAUACAGACAUUCCCACUUCUUGAAAACAUGAAACAACUCUCAUUUCUUCUUAUUCAAAUUCUUUUACUAAUUCCAACAAUAGUUUAUUACUACAUACUGAAAAUUAAAUAGGGGUAAAUUAGGGAAGAUUUUGGCAAAAAUUAAUUUUUCAAUGACAUUAAAAAAGAUUUCUUAAUUCGUGUGAAAAACGAACCAAACCUAUAUAAUUGAGUCGGAGGGAGUAUUAAUAAACAAUCUUGCUAAUGCGUUGGUCAAAAGUCACUGACUGUCCUAAAUGGCUCCAAUUCGUGAAUUCAUACUAGGUGUACGUGUAGCAUGACCCAGUCACUUUAGGAUGAUAGGUCAAUUUUGAAAAGUUCGCCGAUUUUAUUAUUUUUAUUAUUAAAAUAUAGGUUCGGAAUGUACCGAUUUUGGUCCGAUCUGCCUCUCUGCCAGUGGAACAAAUUUUGUCCACUUCUCAAAAUCGUGGAGCGACAAAAUAUUUUCAAUUAGUAAAUUUUUAUCGACAUUUAAAUAAUUUUUUAGAAUAUUAAAUGAUUUUUCUGUUGAAAAAUGUUUAAUACAGUUUUUAGUUUGGUUGCUAAUUCUACGAAAGAAUUGUCUAACAAUCUAUUUAAAAUAUAUAUAUUUUAUAUAAUUUUCAACCGAAUCAUCCCAUCGUAAAUCUGUUGGACAAUUGUUUAAUUUAUUAUUUAUUUAUUAUGCCAACGGAUUAGCAACAAAAGUUUAACAAUGGGAGACUUCCGUUGUUAAUCUAUUCGGUAAAUUAAUAUCUAUUUUUAAAAAUGAUAAAAUAAUUUCCCGUUGGAAAUUUGUAGCAAAUACAUCGUUUUUACCAAUGGAAUAAGUUGAUUGGUAAGAUUGCAUUGCUAAAUGCUAAGGCCUCACAUUCUAAAUAAUUAUCAGUGUUUAGCAUAGCAUUCCUCGAUCUGUGUAUAUAUUUAUGUGCGUACGAUAAUAAUUUUAUAGGUAUCAUUGUCGAGCUUUUUUUAUAGACCAAUUCAUUUAUUAUGGCUUGAAUUCUCAUAUUUGAGAAUGGUGGAUUCCUUGUUGAGCAUUUAUUUAUUCUAUUAUAAACGAAUUCCGUAUGUAUAGCAAAUUAAUUUAGCAUCAAUGGUUGACAACGUCAAAAUUAUUUUAUAAUAAUAGAGUAGUGAUAAAUAAAUAUUUCAUAUCGAAGGACAACACCCCCCUUUCAUAUAGAGUUUCAUAUCAUGCGUCCAAUGGAUGGAAGAGAAUAAGCAACCCGCCAAAUAUUACGUGGUGAGUGAUACAAGGGUUGCAGCUGUGUUGGUUUCAAGUUUAGAAUGAUAGGUCACUGUAUUGCAACAUAUGAGUUUCAUAUUGUACGUACUUUCAAUUGAAUAUAUUAUUUAAUGUCAUCCUAUUAUUAUAUAAUGAAUUAAGUAUGACAAAUAACAUUAUUCAAAAAAAUUUGAUUCGUGUUAUAAGCACAUUACAGCGUAGCGCCAACAUAAGGCUAUUUAGACUUGUUAGUUGAUAAGUUAAAUAUAUAUAUAGAAAAACAUUAGCUUGUAAAUUCGCACUGUCGUUACUUGCCACAUAUGAUACACGUUUUUUAGAUAAUAAUAUCUAACUGCUAAAACUAACCUAUUUUUUUCGAUGUUUUGACUGAAAAUUAAUCAAGUCAAUCAUUAUUUUACAGAAGAACACUAUCUAUAAGAAAAAUAAAUAAAUAAAAAUAAAAUUUUAGCAUGCCCUGAAGACCUGGCGAUGUGGCCAACUAUAUAUGCAUUAGCAAAAACUUUGUGAAUUGUCUUGCUUUGGUCAAUUUCUUUCUCUAGCUUUUCUCAUAUGCAUUGUUAUUAUCUUAUAGACGUGAAUCACGAGUUCUCAUAAAUUAUAUCAAGAGUAGAGGUACAGAUAUUGACAUAUAUAAAAUUUACACUUAUCUUGGCCAUCAAAAUUACCUUUUGGAUGUAAUUUUAUGAACUGGAUUAUUACCUUUUAUGUGUUUUUUAUUAUUUUAGGAGAAAAGUUGGGAUUGGAGAAGAACAGUGGAAAGUGGCAAUAAUUGAUCAAAAAGGAGUAUAGUUGGACAUGAUCUGGAAGUUAGGGACUAAUGAGCACGUUUGAAAGUUGAAUGACAUCAAUUGCAAUAUUGAAGAACUCAACCUGAGUUAAAAGAGAAAACAAAGACCCUAUCACACAAGAGAAUAUUAAAUUUCAGCAAUUUGAGAUAUCAUACUUGCACUAAAAUUAUGGUUCCUCAUCUUAUUAGAACUCCAUUUUAGACAUAAAUUAGGUCUACAAAUAAGAAUCUUUCAUUCCAAGUUUAACGGAGGCUGGAAAUAUUAUUUCCAGGCAUAAUUACAAAUCCAAACACAGUGAAUCCUUAUCAAAACUUCCAACAUAAUAAUGAAGAAUAUCAACUCACAAAAAUGACUAAAAUGCCUCUAAAAUUGCCUAUAAAUAAGACAAGUGUACAACGAAGAAAGGGAUUCAAAUUCUACACAAAAAUUAUUGAGAUUGAAAGAACAUCUCAUGUAAGUAAUAUCUCGAAGAUUUAAAGGCUAUCUUCAAUUAAUAAACACCUCUUACUGAAAGAACAGCAGAACAUAUCUCUAUAAAGCAAAACCUAGCUUCAAAAUAGACAAAAAUCCCCAAAUAGAGGAAAAUUUGACUGUCGACUUUGAAAAUUACUAUCCAUUUCUUUUAAGUACCCGUUUGUAGGAACUCUAAAUAAAACCACAAGCGAAAACACCUGAGGAAAUAGAGAAGCCAAGGAAAAUGAGUGACAGCGAAUCAUACAACGAUGAAAAUUUGAGCAAAAAAUAAAUCAUACUGUCCUACAGAAAUAAAAUGCUGAAAUAAGAAGAAAUCAAAGGUCAUCGAGAAAAAAUGAUUAGGUUAACUCAAACCAUAACUGUAAAGUCUCGAAUUUUAUAUUCUUAAAUUGGUUGGUGUAUCCCAUAUAAGAAACGAGCUAUGGUGGCUCAAUCCAUUUAAGGUAGUGAAAUCACAAGCCACGAGUUAAACUAAAGCUCAAAUAUUUAAGAAAUUAAGUUUAAAUAAAUUUAAUUACAAAGAUUUAUUAAAUAACUGGGUCUCACAAUGGUCAUCAGAUGCUAUUUCACAUAGGUAACUUAGGUACGAAUCACCAUGUUGGUUUUUAAU